rnacentral:rRNA from 1 species
CGAAUGCUGACAUGAGUAACGACAAUGGGUGUGAAAAACACCCACGCCGAAAGACCAAGGGUUCCUGCGCAACGUUAAUCGACGCAGGGUUAGUCGGUUCCUAAGGCGAGGCUGAAAAGCGUAGUCGAUGGGAAACAGGUUAAUAUUCCUGUACUUCUGGUUACUGCGAUGGAGGGACGGAGAAGGCUAGGCCAGCUUGGCGUUGGUUGUCCAAGUUUAAGGUGGUAGGCUGAAAUCUUAGGUAAAUCCGGGGUUUCAAGGCCGAGAGCUGAUGACGAGUCGUCUUUUAGAUGACGAAGUGGUUGAUGCCAUGCUUCCAAGAAAAGCUUCUAAGCUUCAGGUAACCAGGAACCGUACCCCAAACCGACACAGGUGGUCGGGUAGAGAAUACCAAGGCGCUUGAGAGAACUCGGGUGAAGGAACUAGGCAAAAUGGCACCGUAACUUCGGGAGAAGGUGCGCCGGCUAGGGUGAAGGAUUUACUCCGUAAGCUCUGGCUGGUCGAAGAUACCAGGCCGCUGCGACUGUUUAUUAAAAACACAGCACUCUGCAAACACGAAAGUGGACGUAUAGGGUGUGACGCCUGCCCGGUGCCGGAAGGUUAAUUGAUGGGGUUAGCGCAAGCGAAGCUCUUGAUCGAAGCCCCGGUAAACGGCGGCCGUAACUAUAACGGUCCUAAGGUAGCGAAAUUCCUUGUCGGGUAAGUUCCGACCUGCACGAAUGGCGUAACGAUGGCGGCGCUGUCUCCACCCGAGACUCAGUGAAAUUGAAAUCGCUGUGAAGAUGCAGUGUAUCCGCGGCUAGACGGAAAGACCCCGUGAACCUUUACUGUAGCUUUGCACUGGACUUUGAGCCUGCUUGUGUAGGAUAGGUGGGAGGCUUUGAAGCGUGGACGCCAGUUCGCGUGGAGCCAUCCUUGAAAUACCACCCUGGCAUGCUUGAGGUUCUAACUCUGGUCCGUGAUCCGGAUCGAGGACAGUGUAUGGUGGGCAGUUUGACUGGGGCGGUCUCCUCCUAAAGAGUAACGGAGGAGUACGAAGGUGCGCUCAGACCGGUCGGAAAUCGGUCGCAGAGUAUAAAGGCAAAAGCGCGCUUGACUGCGAGACAGACACGUCGAGCAGGUACGAAAGUAGGUCUUAGUGAUCCGGUGGUUCUGUAUGGAAGGGCCAUCGCUCAACGGAUAAAAGGUACUCCGGGGAUAACAGGCUGAUACCGCCCAAGAGUUCAUAUCGACGGCGGUGUUUGGCACCUCGAUGUCGGCUCAUCACAUCCUGGGGCUGAAGCCGGUCCCAAGGGUAUGGCUGUUCGCCAUUUAAAGUGGUACGCGAGCUGGGUUUAGAACGUCGUGAGACAGUUCGGUCCCUAUCUGCCGUGGACGUUUGAGAUUUGAGAGGGGCUGCUCCUAGUACGAGAGGACCGGAGUGGACGAACCUCUGGUGUUCCGGUUGUCACGCCAGUGGCAUUGCCGGGUAGCUAUGUUCGGAAAAGAUAACCGCUGAAAGCAUCUAAGCGGGAAACUUGCCUCAAGAUGAGAUCUCACUGGGAACUUGAUUCCCCUGAAGGGCCGUCGAAGACUACGACGUUGAUAGGCUGGGUGUGUAAGCGUUGUGAGGCGUUGAGCUAACCAGUACUAAUUGCCCGUGAGGCUUGACCAU